rnacentral:rRNA from 1 species
GAGUUUGAUCAUGGCUCAGAUUGAACGCUGGCGGCAUGCCUAACACAUGCAAGUCGCGCGGGCUGUAGCAAUACAGUUAGCGGCGGACGGGUGAGGAAUACAUAGGAAUUUGCCUUUAGGUGGGGGAUAGCCCAGGGAAACUUGGAGUAAUACCGCAUGAUGUCGAAAGACCAAAGCAGGGGAUCGCAAGACCUUGCGCCUUUAGAGGAGCCUAUGUCUGAUUAGCUAGUUGGUAGGGUAAUGGCCUACCAAGGCGACGAUCAGUAACUGGUCUGAGAGGACGAUCAGUCACACUGGAACUGAGACACGGUCCAGACUCCUACGGGAGGCAGCAGUGGGGAAUAUUGGACAAUGGGCGCAAGCCUGAUCCAGCAAUGCCGCGUGUGUGAAGAAGGCCU